rnacentral:rRNA from 1 species
GGGUUGUGAGGUUAAGCGACUAAGCGUACACGGUGGAUGCCCUGGCAGUCAGAGGCGAUGAAGGACGUGCUAAUCUGCGAAAAGCGUCGGUAAGGUGAUAUGAACCGUUAUAACCGGCGAUGUCCGAAUGGGGAAACCCAGUGCAAUUCGUUGCACUAUCGUUAACUGAAUACAUAGGUUAACGAGGCGAACCGGGGGAACUGAAACAUCUAAGUACCCCGAGGAAAAGAAAUCAACCGAGAUUCCCCCAGUAGCGGCGAGCGAACGGGGAGCAGCCCAGAGUCUGAAUCAGCUUGUGUGUUAGUGGAACGGUCUGGAAAGUCCGACGGUACAGGGUGAUAGUCCCGUACACCAAAAUGCACAGGUUGUGAACUCGAAGAGUAGGGCGGGACACGUGGUAUCCUGUCUGAAUAUGGGGGGACCAUCCUCCAAGGCUAAAUACUCCUGACUGACCGAUAGUGAACCAGUACCGUGAGGGAAAGGCGAAAAGAACCCCGGCGAGGGGAGUGAAAAAGAACCUGAAACCGUGUACGUACAAGCAGUGGGAGCACCUUCGGGUGUGACUGCGUACCUUUUGUAUAAUGGGUCAGCGACUUAUAUUCUGUAGCAAGGUUAACCGUAUAGGGGAGCCGCAGGGAAACCGAGUCUUAACUGGGCGUUAAGUUGCAGGGUAUAGACCCGAAACCCGGUGAUUCAGCCAUGGGCAGGUUGAAGGUUGGGUAACACUAACUGGAGGACCGAACCGACUAAUGUUGAAAAAUUAGCGGAUGACUUGUGGCUGGGGGUGAAAGGCCAAUCAAACCGGGAGAUAGCUGGUUCUCCCCGAAAGCUAUUUAGGUAGCGCCUCGUGAAUUCAUCUUCGGGGGUAGAGCACUGUUUCGGCUAGGGGGUCAUCCCGACUUACCAACCCGAUGCAAACUACGAAUACCGAAGAAUGUUAUCACGGGAGACACACGGCGGGUGCUAACGUCCGUCGUGAAGAGGAAACAACCCAGACCGCCAGCUAAGGUCCCAAAGUCAUGGUUAAGUGGGAAACGAUGUGGGAAGGCACAGACAGCCAGGAUGUUGGCUUAGAAGCAGCCAUCAUUUAAAGAAAGCGUAAUAGCUCACUGGUCGAGUCGGCCUGCGCGGAAGAUGUAACGGGGCUAAACCAUGCACCGAAGCUGCGGCAGCGACACUAUGUGUUGUUGGGUAGGGGAGCGUUCUGUAAGCCUGCGAAGGUGACCUGUGAGGGUUGCUGGAGGUAUCAGAAGUGCGAAUGCUGACAUAAGUAACGAUAAAGCGGGUGAAAAGCCCGCUCGCCGGAAGACCAAGGGUUCCUGUCCAACGUUAAUCGGGGCAGGGUGAGUCGACCCCUAAGGCGAGGCCGAAAGGCGUAGUCGAUGGGAAACAGGUUAAUAUUCCUGUACUUGGUGUUACUGCGAAGGGGACGGAGAAGGCUAUGUUAGCCGGGCGACGGUUGUCCCGGUUUAAGCAUGUAGGCUGGUUGUCGUGCAAAUCCGGAUAAUCAAGGCUGAGGUGUGAUGACGAGGCACUACGGUGCUGAAGUAACAAAUGCCCUGCUUCCAGGAAAAGCCUCUAAGCAUCAGGUAACAUCAAAUCGUACCCCAAACCGACACAGGUGGUCAGGUAGAGAAUACCAAGGCGCUUGAGAGAACUCGGGUGAAGGAACUAGGCAAAAUGGUGCCGUAACUUCGGGAGAAGGCACGCUGGUGUGUAGGUGAAGUCCUGCGGAUGGAGCUGAGACCAGUCGAAGAUACCAGCUGGCUGCAACUGUUUAUUAAAAACACAGCACUGUGCAAACACGAAAGUGGACGUAUACGGUGUGACGCCUGCCCGGUGCCGGAAGGUUAAUUGAUGGGGUUAUCCGUAAGGAGAAGCUCUUGAUCGAAGCCCCGGUAAACGGCGGCCGUAACUAUAACGGUCCUAAGGUAGCGAAAUUCCUUGUCGGGUAAGUUCCGACCUGCACGAAUGGCGUAAUGAUGGCCAGGCUGUCUCCACCCGAGACUCAGUGAAAUUGAACUCGCUGUGAAGAUGCAGUGUACCCGCGGCAAGACGGAAAGACCCCGUGAACCUUUACUAUAGCUUGACACUGAACAUUGAGCCUUGAUGUGUAGGAUAGGUGGAGGCUUUGAAGCGUGGACGCCAGUCUGCGUGGAGCCAACCUUGAAAUACCACCCUUUAAUGUUUGAUGUUCUAACGUUGGCCCCUGACCGGGGUUGCGGACAGUGUCUGGUGGGUAGUUUGACUGGGGCGGUCUCCUCCCAAAGCGUAACGGAGGAGCACGAAGGUUAGCUAAUCCUGGUCGGACAUCAGGAGGUUAGUGCAAUGGCAUAAGCUAGCUUGACUGCGAGCGUGACGGCGCGAGCAGGUGCGAAAGCAGGUCAUAGUGAUCCGGUGGUUCUGAAUGGAAGGGCCAUCGCUCAACGGAUAAAAGGUACUCCGGGGAUAACAGGCUGAUACCGCCCAAGAGUUCAUAUCGACGGCGGUGUUUGGCACCUCGAUGUCGGCUCAUCACAUCCUGGGGCUGAAGUAGGUCCCAAGGGUAUGGCUGUUCGCCAUUUAAAGUGGUACGCGAGCUGGGUUUAGAACGUCGUGAGACAGUUCGGUCCCUAUCUGCCGUGGGCGCUGGAGAAUUGAGGGGGGCUGCUCCUAGUACGAGAGGACCGGAGUGGACGCAUCACUGGUGUUCGGGUUGUCAUGCCAAUGGCACUGCCCGGUAGCUAAAUGCGGAAGAGAUAAGUGCUGAAAGCAUCUAAGCACGAAACUUGCCCCGAGAUGAGUUCUCCCUGAGACUUUAAGUCUCCUGAAGGAACGUUGAAGACGACGACGUUGAUAGGCCGGGUGUGUAAGCGCAGCGAUGCGUUGAGCUAACCGGUACUAAUGAACCGUGAGGCUUAACCUUACAACGCCGAAG